rnacentral:rRNA from 2 species
UGAGGAAUAUUGGUCAAUGGACGAGAGUCUGAACCAGCCAAGUAGCGUGAAGGAUGAAGGUUCUAUGGAUUGUAAACUUCUUUUAUACGGGAAUAAACGAAUCCACGCGUGGAUUUUUGCAUGUACCGUAUGAAUAAGGAUCGGCUAACUCCGUGCCAGCAGCCGCGGUAAUACGGAGGAUCCGAGCGUUAUCCGGAUUUAUUGGGUUUAAAGGGAGCGUAGGCGGACGCUUAAGUCAGUUGUGAAAGUUUGCGGCUCAACCGUAAAAUUGCAGUUGAUACUGGGUGUCUUGAGUACAGUAGAGGCAGGCGGAAUUCGUGGUGUAGCGGUGAAAUGCUUAGAUAUCACGAAGAACUCCGAUUGCGAAGGCAGCUUGCUGGACUGUAACUGACGCUGAUGCUCGAAAGUGUGGGUAUCAAACAGGAUUAGAUACCCUGGUAGUCCACACAGUAAACGAUGAAUACUCGCUGUUUGCGAUAUACAGUAAGCGGCCAAGCGAAAGCGUUAAGUAUUCCACCUGGGGAGUACGCCGGCAACGGUGAAACUCAAAGGAAUUGACGGGGGCCCGCACAAGCGGAGGAACAUGUGGUUUAAUUCGAUGAUACGCGAGGAACCUUACCCGGGCUUGAAUUGCAACUGAAUGAUGUGGAGACAUGUCAGCCGCAAGGCAGUUGUGAAGGUGCUGCAUGGUUGUCGUCAGCUCGUGCCGUGAGGUGUCGGCUUAAGUGCCAUAACGAGCGCAACCCUUAUCGAUAGUUACCAUCAGGUUAUGCUGGGGACUCUGUCGAGACUGCCGUCGUAAGAUGUGAGGAAGGUGGGGAUGACGUCAAAUCAGCACGGCCCUUACGUCCGGGGCUACACACGUGUUACAAUGGGGGGUACAGAAGGCAGCUACACGGCGACGUGAUGCUAAUCCCGAAAGCCUCUCUCAGUUCGGAUUGGAGUCUGCAACCCGACUCCAUGAAGCUGGAUUCGCUAGUAAUCGCGCAUCAGCCACGGCGCGGUGAAUACGUUCCC